GAUGAACGCUGGCGGCGUGCCUAAUACAUGCAAGUCGAGCGAACAGACGAGGAGCUUGCUCCUCUGACGUUAGCGGCGGACGGGUGAGUAACACGUGGAUAACCUACCUAUAAGACUGGGAUAACUUCGGGAAACCGGAGCUAAUACCGGAUAAUAUAUUGAACCGCAUGGUUCAAUAGUGAAAGACGGUUUUGCUGUCACUUAUAGAUGGAUCCGCGCCGCAUUAGCUAGUUGGUAAGGUAACGGCUUACCAAGGCAACGAUGCGUAGCCGACCUGAGAGGGGGAUCGGCCACACUGGAACUGAGACACGGUCCAGACUCCUACGGGAGGCAGCAGUAGGGAAUCUUCCGCAAUGGGCGAAAGCUUGACGGAGCAACGCCGCGUGAGUGAUGAAGGUCUUCGGAUCGUAAAACUCUGUUAUUAGGGAAGAACAAAUGUGUAAGUAACGAUGCACGUCUUGACGGUACCGAAGCAGAAAGCCACGGCUAACUACGU
rnacentral:rRNA from 1 species